UGGGGAAUCUUCCGCAAUGGACGAAAGUCUGACGGGGCAACGCCGCGUGAGUGAAGAAGGUUUUCGGAUCGUAAAACUCUGUCUUUUGGGGCGAACGUGAGUAUGGUGAACAAUCAUAGUCAGUGACGGUACCAAAGGAGGAAGCCACGGCUAACUACGUGCCAGCAGCCGCGGUAAUACGUAGGUGGCAAGCGUUGUCCGGAAUUAUUGGGCGUAAAGAGCGCGUAGGCGGGAUAGUCAGUCUGUUGUAAAGUGCGGGGCUCAACCCCGUGAUGGCAAUGGAAACAGCUAUUCUUGAGUGCAGGAGAGGAAAGUGGAAUUCCCAGUGUAGCGGUGAAAUGCGUAGAUAUUGGGAGGAACACCAGUGGCGAAGGCGACUUUCUGGACUGUGUCUGACGCUGAGGCGCGAAAGCCAGGGGGAGCGAACGGGAUUAGAUACCCCGGUAGUCCUGGCCGUAAACGAUGGGUACUAGGUGUGGGAGGUAUCGACCCCUUCCGUGCCGGAGUUAACGCAAUAAGUACCCCGCCUGGGGAGUACGGUCGCAAGACUGAAACUUAAGGAAUUGACGGGGUCAUAGCUGUUUCCUG
rnacentral:rRNA from 1 species